UUGAAUAUAGGAUAUGAUAGUAAUUAGUAAAACCACUGGCUGUUAAUAGUACGGAUUCUUAUUAAUCCGCCCCGAACUUGAACCCGACCCGUUUGGAUUCCUUAUUUUGAAAAUUAAACCCUAUGUAUACAGAUUACAGACUAGAGAGAAACGAGAGUGAACAAGAUUUGAGUUUGAACGUGAAAUCAAGCUGCAUGUCAAUUGUCAAUAAGGUGCAAAAUUACUCUUUUUUUUUUUCUUUUAAACAUGUCUGUAAUAUUUUGCUGCCAAGUUCGAAUUUAUGUUUAGGUUUUCAUGAUUUGUUUUGUUUGUUAUUUUCUUUAUUAGAUAUAUUUAUUAAAAAAUGUCGUUCAAUUUGGUACUUUCGUGUGGUGGUGUAAGGUUGAUUUGAUUUUUGUUUUUGUUAUAUUGUAAAGAAAUAUUUAUUGAUACUCAAAAUAGUUUAUACAAAAGUGGAUUUUAAGGUGUUUUACUCCAUAUAAUGUUUCCUACUUUCCUUGGUUUGUAUGUUUCAAUUGUUAAGCUCUGUUGGUAUACUGGAUUUUGUUUGCAGGUCUGACUGACUGAUCAUGCAAUCGUCGUCCGUUCACCUGUUUUCGACCACUACGAGACCUUAUUAGGCUUUAGUACAAUUUUGUUGAAACCUUCACACUCACAAAACUUAGAGACUCAUAGUUGUUAUUGGUGCAAUUAUGAAGAGGUGUUGUCACUACCAAAAAACAGGGUUUUUACGACGGCUCUAAAAUUCAAUUUGCGACGGCCUAAGGCAGUCAUGAUGUUUGUGACAGGUUAAAGCUGUCGUAAAACUUAAAAACCAUCGCAAUUUCUCGGUUUCUAGAAUUUUCUUUUAGGAAAGAAAUACCGACGGCUAUUUAACAGUCGCUGUAGCGACGAGCUUUGCCUGUCGCCCAAAGAUUUCGUCGCUCAUAAGUUAAAAUUUUUAAGUUAGCCGUCGAAACAAAUCACUAAAAACUGGGCGUCAAUAUUUUAACUUUCCCUCUAAUAUUUUUAUAGAUUUUUAUUUAGCGAACUCCCUCAGAAGUCGGACCAUUGUCUAGGGUUUUCUGCCUCUCUCUCUAUCCCCCUUUGGGCUCUGGUAUGUAAAUUCAAUUUCCCACAAAUCGUUCUUUACAGAUCUAUCUUCUUAAGUUCUUUUACUCAUUUUGUUAGGGUUUUUCAGACAAUUAAUAAACUGAAGAAAAAUCGACUUCUCAGAGGUACUCUCUCUGUCUCUUUAACCCAACUCAUUAUUUUCAUGAUUAAUUGAAAAAGCGAGUCAAUUUCAUUGUUGACAUAGGGUAUUGCUUUGUACUAGUUUUUUAAAAAUCUUAUCUUCUUGAUAUUAUGUUGUUUGAUAAAUCCAAAUUAGGCACUAAAUUUUUAUUAUUUUGCUUAAAUUAGGUGUAGACUUCAUGUCCAAGUUUAAUUAGGCUCAGUUGUCUUUGUCAUCCAUGGACUUUAUAUUUGUUAGGAUCUUAAUUGUGUAUUGUUUUAUUUUUUUUAAUUGUAAUUGUAAUUGUUGACAUUUGAGAGGUAGUAUUGCUCUAAAGGUUUGAAUUUUGAAUUUUUUUUAAGCUUAGGAAAAAGCUCUGUCCUGCUUAUCUUUCUUUUUUUCCCAUACCAAGUAAAUAGACGUGUCUUCACCUUUGCUAUGAGUUUGUCCACAUCAUUUUGUUGCUACAAGAACUCUCAUUUCUCGAUGGCAUGACUCCAAGCUCUCUGCGAUAUAAAGAACCAGAUGGAGAUGCCUUCCAUCAGUUGGUAAUAGGUUGUUUCCUAGACACUUUAAGUUGGCUAUGGUAUGGACUUUAAAAAUAAGGUAUAAUAAUGUAAGUAAUGUUCUCUUAAUUUGAAGUUUUUUCCAUAUAUAUGCUUCUAGUUACAGUGUAGUUUGUAUUUGGGUGAUGGAUUGAGAGUUCCACACUGCAGAUUAACAAAGAGCUGAAGCUGCUUUCUUGGUGAUGAUUUUUGGAGUGCAAAUGCACAUCAGAUGUUCCCAUUGAUCAGGCAUGCAUACAAUCUGAUUUGUUAAUUUUUUUCUUAAAGCUAAAUGGAUUUGCAUCUUUCUAGAAAUUUUUUUCUUAAAGCUAAAUGGAUUUGCAUCUUUCGAAGUUAUUUUCU
rnacentral:lncRNA from 1 species